AAGUUUUAAAACUAGGCUAAACUUACAACUAUAAUCACUUACAAACCCAUAUUACAAAAACAUUUAUUCAAUUUAGUAAGAUAAUCAGAACCACCUCUAUAGACCUACAAAAGAAGUACCGCAAGGGAAAGUUUGAAAUACCCUUUUAAGCAGAACCAAAAACAGGAAAGACAAACCCUUUUACCUUGUGUAUAAUGGAUUAGCAAGAACAAAGACAUACCUUUCUUUUCCCGAAACUAAGUGAGCUAACCUUUUCUUCUCUCACAGGAGAAUAACAACUACUGUUGCAAUAGUAGAACAAAAAGAAAAGGUUAGAUGUGAAAUGCUUAACGCACUUAGUGAUAGCUGGUUUCUUGUAAAAUUGGUCUAAGCCAAGCUCCCUAUUAGUAUAAACAAGACUUAAUAAUAUAAACUAAAAUUUUUCUACUAAUCAAGGAAAAGUCAGAGCUUUAGGGAUAAGCCUAAAGCUCAAACCGGAAAACCCGAAAUCCCUAGGUAAAGUCAAAAACUAAAGUAAAUGGGAACUUAAAACCUAAGUAGGCCCAGAAGCAGCCAACUUUUUAGAAAGCGUUAAAGCUCUAUUUUUACUUUUUCCCAAAAAAUUACUGACCACCAACCUUACCCUACUAAUAAACCUAACAAGAUACUCCUUUAAUGGAAGAACCUAUGCUAAUACGAGUAAGAGUAAUUUCGCCUGUUAAAUUUACACAAGCUUAACCACGGAACAAAAAUAUUUUUUCUAAAAACCAAAUUUUUUAAGCUGUCUUCCAACUCAGGGGAAAUAAUAAAUAAAUAAAAGAGAAAGAAGGAACUCGGCAAAAACAAGUUUCGCCUGUUUACCAAAAACAUCGCUCUUUGCCAAACAUAUAGAAGUAUAAAGAGUCCUGCCUGCCCAGUGACUUAUAGUUAAACGGCCGCGGUAUCUUGACCGUGCGAAGGUAGCAUAAUCAUUUGUCUCCUAAAUAGAGACUAGUAUGAACGGCAAGACGGAACUAAACUGUCUCCUUUCUCUUUAUCUGAAACUCACUUUCCCGUGAAGAGGCGGGAAUAAUCUCGCUAGACGAGAAGACCCUGUCGAGCUGGAGUAAAAGACAAAACCAUUAAAAUCUUUCUGAGCGCUAAUUACUUACUAAUUCUACGACCAAGAAGACUAUUGCCUUUUGUAAACAACUUUGGUUGGGGCAACCGCGUAGAAAAAUCACCCUACGCUAUUAAAACCUCUAAAGAGGCUUAAGUAAAGAAAAAUAAUUCUUCUACUAUUAAUAAUAAGAACUAAGUGAUCCACUCAGGUGAUCAAAAGAACAAGUUACCGCAGGGAUAACAGCGUUAUCUUCUUUGAGAGUCCAUAUUGACAAGAAGGUUUGCGACCUCGAUGUUGGAUCGGGACAUCCUAAGGGUGCAGAAGCUCUUAAGGGUUGGUCUGUUCGACCAUUAAAGUCCUACGUGAUCUGAGUUCAGACCGGCGAGAGCCAGGUCAGUUUCUAUCUACGAGUAACCCUCUUUCUUAGUACGAAAGGACCAGAAAGAGAGUGUCCAUGCAAUAUUGUAAACACUAAAGAAACUUUGACUUAAAAAAC
rnacentral:rRNA from 1 species